GUUGCAAAUUUAAACUCAAGUUCAGAUUCUCCUAGCAACAUGCACGCCCUCGGCUGCUGGCUCGCAGGAUCCAAGCACCAGAUACGUACAGCUGGGGUGGUUCAUGUUGCUAGGAGAACAAUGACUCCCCUGCUUUCCGAGCAGCAUGUAGGUGACUGGUGGCAUUUCCAGGGGUGCGCAGGUGGGCGUCACCUUUUGUUUCCCCAGCGACUGCUUCACAGCAAGACCCUCAUGUUCCCAAUUCCAUCUUGGAAAUGAUGAAGCUCACUGUGAGGCCGAGUUUUCAAAAGACACGGCAAGGCUGAGUGUUGAACCCAUCUCUGUCCCAUUGAAGAUGACCUUCUUUCUUCCACAUCUGCUGUUCUGGUGGGACAGGAUGCUACUUGUCACAGGAUUUGAGUUGAAACACAUGGAGCAUAUUUCCUGAGAACAUUCCCAGAAGAAUAGCUUCUAGUUCUCUCCAAGAGGGAAAUCUGCUUCCAGGGUAGGCAGCAGCAAAAAAAAAAAAAAAAAAAAAAAAAAAA